AUGUCUUAUUCAGCCAUGUGUCUAUCACAGCUUAUUUUAGUGGCUCUUUGUCUAACAGGUGCAGCUGGUCAGACACUGACUGAAUUAGAGUCAGUAGUUAUUAGACCUGGAGGAUCUCACAAACUGACCUGCACCACAUUCACAUUUAGGAGCUAUCCCAUGAACUGGGUCAGACAAGCUCCAGGGAAAGGCCUGGAGUGGAUUGCUUAUAUUUCCACAGCCAGUAGCCCAAUCUACUACUCCCAGUCAGUCCAGGGGAGAUUCACCUCCAGGGAUGAUUCCAGAAGUGAGCUCUACUUACAGAUGAGCAGCCUGAAGAGUGAAGACACUGCUGUGUAUUACUGCGCUCGGAGGGCACGAUGGAGGAAGGCAGAAGCCAGGCUGUACAAAAACACUUCCCCAUUUAGCACAUGA